rnacentral:rRNA from 1 species
UACGUAGGGCACAAGCGUUGUCCGGAAUUAUUGGGCGUAAAGAGCUCGUAGGCGGCCUGUUACGUCUGCUGUGAAAUCCCGGGGCUUAACCCCGGGCGUGCAGUGGAUACGGGCAGGCUGGAGGCAGGCAGGGGAGAACGGAAUUCCCGGUGUAGCGGUGAAAUGCGCAGAUAUCGGGAGGAACACCGGUGGCGAAGGCGGUUCUCUGGGCCUGUACUGACGCUGAGGAGCGAAAGCGUGGGGAGCGAACAGG